rnacentral:misc_RNA from 1 species
UUGUUUCAUUGCGACUCCUGUUCGUUUUGUGUGUGUGUGUGUGUGCUCUUCGCCCCCGUAUCUCCCUUUCUCGCCCCCCACUUCUCGCCGCGCCGCACCACCCCGCGUGUGCUGCUUCAGCUGCUGCUGCUCUGUCUCUGUGCGCUUGCAUCAGUGUGCCCUCCCUUCCCCCAUCUCCCCGCCGUACACGAUGCCGCGCGCUUACCUCGCAGGCGAGCGCAGGGGCUGCCGUCGCUCCUGGUACGCGGUAGCCGUGUGCGCUGUAGUGGCGCUCGCCAUCGGUGGUGGUGGACUUCUUAUGGCCGCCGCAAGGGCCGUGCCGCGGCUGACGCCGGCGCAGGAGCACCGCGGCAUCACCGCUGCCAUAGGCCACCACUCUUUUGCCCCGCCGCUGCUGCGGCAGUACUACGGUGACGGCGAAAUCCCACACUGGGUCAUCUCCGGCUCGUCCGUCAUCACGGACGAAUACGUGCGGCUCACGGCUGACCAGAAGAGCCAGACAGGCCACCUGUGGAACACGGAACCGCUGGAUAUGGACGCCUUCGAGGUGGUCGUGGGCUUCCGCGUCUACCGGCCAAUGGGCGGCUUCGGCGCGGACGGCUUCGGGGUGUGGGUGGCGCAGCCGCCUCGCUUUGACGGCCCCCUCUUUGGCCGCCCGUCCACCUUCAACGGCUUCGGGGUCCUGUUCGACUCGUACGACAACGACAACCGCCGCGACAACCCGAUGGUGAGCCUCGUGUACAACGACGGGUCCAACACCAAGCACUUCAACCCUGAGAGGGACUUCAUGGGUGACAGCGUGGCCAGCUGCGUUUUCGACUUCCGCGAGAUUCCCGAACCGAACAUGGCCACCAUGCGCAUGGUGUACUUCAAGGGUGAACUUCAGGUGUACCUGUCCAGAAACAGCGAGGCCACAGAGACAGAGUGUCUCAAAGUCACCAGACUGCCGAUGCCAGAGGGCAAGGUGUACCUCUCCUUAUCUGCCCAGACCGGCGGUGUGUCGGAGAUCCACGACAUCAUGUUCGUUCAUCUGUCUCCCCUGGUGGAGGCAAAGUACGACCACGAUGUGCGGCAGACUACGGUGCCGACCAACGGCCUCCACGACGCGCGGCUUUACGACAACGAGGCGAUGAACAACCGCCAAACGUCAGAGGUGCCGACAGAUACCCAUUUACCCACGAUGGUGCCGCAGGAGGCGCACCCGGCACAGCAGCAGCAUCAAUACCAGGAGGCACAGCCGACACAGCAGCAGCAUCAAUACCAGGAGGCACAGCCGACACAGCAGCAGCAUCAAUACCAGGAGGCACAGCCGGCACAGCAGCAGCAGCAGAACCAGCCGUCCGCGCAGGCCACUGACAACAUCGGUGAAAAAGAGCGGCAGCGAAUCGAGGAGCUGGAGAGGAGGUUGGAAGAGCUCCAGGGCCGCAACGGUUACCGCGCCACGCGUCGCAUUGAUGAAGAAGUGGAAGAGUUGGACGACUAUGACGAUGAAGACAGAAACAGACAACGCCGCGUGCGACGCGUGCGCCGUGCACGCACGCCCCGUAGCAACCGCGUGGAGCAGGAUGAGUAGAAUGGGGAGCAGAGGUGAGGGGGCAGCUAAGAGCGGCGUCUUUGCCUCGGGUACUUUGUGUAUGUAUGCGUGUGCUUGCGUGCAUCUGCGAUGAGGGCGGCAGAGUUUCAAGGUUUCGGUGACAGGGCCUGCGCUGCUCUGUUUUCUCGCUUCCUGGCCUACCGCCACUCUCUGCCACCUUCCCCAUCACCUCCUCGUCCGUCCUGCCCCUUCUGGGCGGGGCUUGCCGGUGUUCUCCUCGGGUGUGCGUCGGCGCGACGGCUGCCGUUGCCGCUGCGGUCGUCGUCUUCAUACGUUAUUGUGUGGAGGCUCAUCUGUGCCGGUGUGUGUGUGUGUGUGUCAAGCAGUUUAUCAUGGGCCUGUCUGCCAAUGCACACGCUCCGCCAUGUCUGUUCUUCUCUCUGUGCUCUUUGGGCGGACCGCGAUGCAGCCCCUCCCCCUCCCCCCAAAC